rnacentral:rRNA from 1 species
UACGGGGGGAGCUAGCGUUAUUCGGAAUUACUGGGUGUAAAGCGCACGUAGGCGGCUUUGUAAGUUAGAGGUGAAAGCCUGGUGCUCAACAUCAGAACUGCCUUUAAUACUGCAUCGCUUGAAUCCAGGAGAGGUGAGUGGAAUUCCGAGUGUAGAGGUGAAAUUCGUAGAUAUUCGCAAGAACACCAGUGGCGAAGGCGGCUCACUGGCCCGGUACUGACGCUGAGGUGCGAAAGCGUGGGGAGCAAACAGG